UAUCCAACGACUGUCAGCUUGUUUGCUUUGCGCUCCACGUCCACUUGUUUUACGCCUUUCAUUCCUUCCACUGCUCGUUUCACCUUGCGCUCGCAUCCUUCGCAGUCGAUUCUAACUUUGAUCUCCACCGUCUGCAAUUGCUUGCGCUUCUUGAGCUUUGAACUUCCAUGAGAGCAGUCGAAGAGAUGAGAAAAAUGAUCAAGAGCACCCAUUAUUUCACUUUCCUUGAUCCACCAAAAAGGAUAUAAGGUUUUGAUUACUGUUAAGAAAGGAGAUAAGAACGAACGCGUAGCAAUAAUAUCUAAGGAAGGCUUUUGGUUUUGGGUUCCUCUGCAAAAUAGAGAGACAGUAAGUGAG
rnacentral:misc_RNA from 1 species